rnacentral:rRNA from 1 species
GACGAACGUUGGCGGCGUGCUUAAUACAUGCAAGUCAACUGAAGCAGUGGUAGCAAUAUCGCUGUGGAGGUGGCGCACGGGUGAGUAACACGUAGGUAAUCUGCCUUCAGGCCUGGCAUAACUCCGGGAAACCGGGGCUAAUAGCAGAUGAUGCAGCGGCUCGACAUCGAGACAGUUGUUAAAGCUAUGGCGCCUGAAGAUGAGCCUGCGUCUGAUUAGCUAGUUGGCGGGGUAACGGCCCACCAAGGCAACGAUCAGUAGCUGGUCUGAGAGGAUGAUCAGCCACACUGGAACUGAGACACGGUCCAGACUCCUACGGGAGGCAGCAGUAAGGAAUAUUGCUCAAUGGGAGAAAUCCUGAAGCAGCAACGCCGCGUGAGGGACGAAGGGCUUUUGCUUGUAAACCUCUGUAGUGAGAGAAAAAAAUCCCAAUCUUUGGGACAUGAUGGUAUCUCAAAAGUAAGCCCCGGCUAACUACGUG